rnacentral:lncRNA from 1 species
CUGGAAGAAGAUUCCCACUGGGAGCAGGAAAUUUCCCUUCAAGGGAAUUACCCUGGACCAGAGACAUCCUGCCAGAGCUUUUGGCAUUUCCGUUACCAAGAAGCAUCACGACCCCGAGAGGCCCUCCUCCAGCUCCAGAAGCUCUGUUGUCAGUGGCUAAGGCCAGAGAAGUGUACAAAAGAGCAGAUCCUGGAGUUGCUGGUCCUAGAACAGUUCCCGACUGUCCUUCUCCAGGAGAUCCAGAUCUGGGUCAGACAGCAGCAUCCGGAGAGUGGAGAGGAGGCAGUGGCCCUGGUGGAAGACUUGCAGAAAGAACCUGGAAGACAGAGGCUGGAGGAGGAUGAGAAGGUGGCAGGAGUGCACUGGGGAUACAAAGAAACCAAGAUUUUUCUGGGAAUUCUCAGAGGCCUGGAUCCACGAAAAACUCCGCACCUGCCAUCGAAACCACCAGGUGUACCGGAUUAUGGCUGAGCAGCUGUGAGAACAUGGCUUCCUGUGGACCCUGGAGCAAUGUUGCUAUCGGUUCAAAAACCUCCUGACCGACUACUGCAAAGCCAGGAGCACCUACACACCAGGCACCAGUGUCUUCUAUGAUGAGAUGGAUGCCCUGUUGAGCAGUUAAUUAUCACUUAACCAGCGAAUUCACACAGGAGAAAUCCCCUGGCCGGG